AGAGUUGGGUAAAGCAUAGAGCGAACUAUUCUUUCGCCUUUUACUAAAGAAUACUAUGUGCAUGCUGCAAAUAGUGGCAUACUCUUGUAUCCUCGGGCUAAGCCCAACUUGCUUUAC